GGCUUGCAAAAGGUGAGGUUCAGCCAAAGGAAAAUGUUCUGCAGCCAGAGAUGCACUGAAAGUCAUCUUCCAUAUGUUGAUUUAUUUUUCUUUUCUUUUGCAGGGCAACUUGUACACUUCCUCUCUGCUGUUUCCCAAAGAAGACAAAGACAUCUUUUUUUUUUUUUUUUUUCUUUCUGUAAGUUGUAAACUUCUGGAAAUUACUUUGUUUUGCUUGGAGGUAACUAAAAAUUGCUGCAUUAAUUUUAAGUCUGUUGUUGAAUAAUAAGUGCCUGGAGGUUUGCUUUUUGCCUAGUAGGGUAGUGCCUGAUGAGAUUUAAAAAACGACCAAUAUGUUAAACCCUGAAAGCAAGAAUUCAUAGAGCAGAGAUUAAAAUAAUAAUAAUAACAAGAAUGGAAUUACCUUUCAAUUUAUUAUUUUUUUUUUCCUUAAUAUUAUCUGGGUCCAAAAGUGUCCCAGAAUUUGGAUUGUCAUGAAUAUUGGUGUUCUCUCAGCAGCACUUUCAAGGGCAAAUAUCCCCAGACGUGCUGAAAAACAAAUCUUGCUCCCUUCCUUCAGAGGAAAUCUCGUGCAGUGCCAUGAAGCAGUCACUUGUGCCACCAUCUAGUAAUCCGGAGGGUGAUUUGCCAAGUAAAGCAUCACAAAGCCGACACUCGGGACACAAAACACUACAAAAUGUGCAUCCCCCGUGCUGGAGUAUAGAUCCUUUUCUUAGAGAAAGCCAGGGGGCCUUGCAGGGACUUUUGGUUGAACCUCAGAUACUGAGAGUGUCCAAACUGCCCUGACCUAGCCUCUAUAACGUGAUCUUGUAUUAAGCUUCCAAGCACUGAGCUUUGUGGGGUGCCCAAAGAGCCUUUUUCAUGACCACCUUUAUGUUUCUGUAACGGUACCAAUUAUAAAAUGGUUCCUUUCUGCGAUGCAUGAGGCUGAAGUUUGGAAAGAAAUACACAGAAGAAGCUGCUGGGAAGUUUGAAGUUUAGAAAAGAGUUCUUUUAUAUGAAAAUGUGUUUUUAUGGUGUUUGUUCUUAAGUGGAUCUGAUCUUGUGAGAUAAAGAAGAGACUUGCUUUUGAAGCAGAAAGGGAAACAAAUAUGCAAAUAAGUAAUUAAUGACGAAGCACACAAUUAAAAACCCCCACAACUCCAGCAAGUGUGUUCAUGAGAGCAUUAUAUUAACACUGGUAAAACAAAGGGCUGAGAGAGGCCCCAGAUAGUAGGUGUAUUUGAAAUCUAAUCCUUUGGCUCUUUUGGUUACCAGUAAAUGCAGAUUCCAUGCAUGCAGGGCUCUAACUGCAAGGCUGUGCACUGAGCUAAAUGUCUUCUCCAGCUUCAUCUCCUCAGCCCUUGUUUGCUGGGGCUGGGGACCCAGACAGUCUCUGGGGGCACUGAUGUUAGCAGAAGCACUCACAGUUGUUCCCAAUUAAGUGGGUUUCUCUUUACUCAGGUCUCCUUGAUCCUUCAGAAACAUAACAGCAAUUUAGAUGUUUGUGGCACAUUUAAUACAUUUAAACUGUUACGCUGCUAUUAUGUCAUGCCUGGCAAUAACAUGUAGUGUAUUUGUAAACGGCAAAUUGUGGGAUUGGCAUUUUGCUUCAACUCUUGUGAGCUGCAUCCUUUCCAAAUCAAACUUGGGGCAGUAAAACAGGAACAACUGCCAUGUCUUGGGAGCAGCACCAUCUAUGUUCUCUGCAAGCAAAAGGAUGCCUGCUGCUGCCAAAGGUACGAUGAAAUGGGCUUUGGGGCUUUUAAGGUUGGAGAAGGGAAUUUCUGAUGGCUUGUUUGCUGCCGUAGGGCUGCUGCUUGUCCCCAGAGGAGGUGAUGGCUGCACACCGUUGAGAGAAGGCUGCACGAAGACAUCUUCAGACAUGGAAAUUCAGCUGGAUGGCAAAGGAGAGCCAGGAGCCCCACUCCUGCCUGCUGGGAGCUUGUGGGUUGCUGGCAGCCCCAGGGGGACACAGCGCCGUGCUUGGAGGGAGGAGAUGCAGAUACAGCACACACGAGUAGCUCAUCCCUGCAGAGGAUUGGAGCAAGAGACCUACCUGUCCCCAGCUAUGCAGAGCACGUGUCGGUUUGGGGAUCGAUCCCAGUCCUUGAAAGAAGGGACAAGAGGGAGUCACGAAAGCCGAUCUCCCCAUGCAUCGUGGUGCCUGGUGUGCCGGGAAGUGUUCUGCUCAGCUGCUCGCUGACCUGCCCAGCGUGUGCCGCACCACGAGGGCUGCUCCACGCAGGUGGAAAGGUUCGCUCUUCUGGCGUUUGCAGGGAAGGAAGGAAGGAAGGACGUCAGUGGAGGUUUUCUGUAGGCUAACAGGUUACUUUGGUCAGUGAUGCCUGUGGGACAAUGAUUGAGAUGCUUCUCAGAUAUAUUUGGAAGUUCUGAUGAAAUGAUUUAAGUGAUGACAUCACCCACCUGAGGUCACUGGUUUUGCUGAUUCUUUCUGCUUGAAAUUGGUGUCACUACAGCUAGGAAGGACCAACGGUACCUUAUCUCCAAGUGAAUGAUGAAACAGUGAAAUGAUUUAAUUCUUGAGUAGCGCAGACUGCAAAAGGAGGCAAAGACUUGCAAUGACUGUCCAUCUCCACCUGCUGAACAGAUGCAGCAGGCCACGGUCAGAACAACUCCUGUUAAGCAUUACCAAGAAAUAUUCUUACACUUGGAUGUGGGAAUUUUGGAAAGGAACUUGUGUUGUGCACUUUUGACUGAAAUCAAAUCUUGAAAUAGUGAUGCGUCAGGAGAAGCAGAAACCUUAUGCCCUGAGUGCGACUGUAAAACUUUCUGCUGCAGCUUCUAAUCAGAAUGGCUGUCCUUCCUGCAGCACUCUCAUUGAUUUGUUUUAGAAAGAGAAAUGUUUCCUUCACACAGCUGGCGCACAGCUCAGAUGUCAGAGCGUGCACCAGGUGGGAAAGCUCUCAAGGAAGGACGCGGUGCGUUUUCCAACGCAGCCAUUCGGCACCAAAUGGUAAUAAAGGAGGCGAGGGCUGAGCACCCGACCUGCCCCAGACCCAGCCAAAGUGCUUAGUGAAGUAUGCCGGUAGCCAGCACUAGGAAGACAGAGCUUCAGAGCAAGUAUUUGGAUUUUAUUUUAUUUUUUAAUUAGGAAAUAUAUUUUGUAAGGCUCACAUGUAACUCUGCUUCAUCCUGUCCUCACCCCUUGGCUUACUUUCUGCCCAGGAGUGGGUUAGGACAGGUCCCAGUUAGGUGCACAUCCUGGCUUCUAUUUUCCUGCAAAUUCAAGUUCCCACUCCUUUGUAUCUGCAUUAUGUAACAUGCGGCAUCUGACAAUGUGCUGCAGCAUCUAUAAAAGGGUUUUUCCCAUUUCCUAAUUGAAGAUUAGGUACAUCCAAUUUGAAAGGAGGGGAGAAGAAGCAGAGGUUUCUGUCCCCUGUCUGAUUGUCGCAGGGAGGGUUCCUCUUUCAUCCUCGCCGAGGAUGUGCGUGUUGUGAGACACGUUUCCGAACAGCAGGCGCGGUGCUGUGUAUCGAGGCUCAGACUUCAAAUGGGGCAUAAUCAGGCAUUUCAGGCCCCUGCGAACACUCCUGAAGAGUUGGCCUGAUUUUCAAAAGCACCAAGCAAUUGACAUCUCCUAUUGAUUUCACUGGGAACCAGUCAGCCCUCAACGCAUCAGAAAAAUCAGGCUGGUUACUUAGAAACCUGCAGAUGGUUUUUAAAUCUACAUUCUGGGGCUGUUUUAGUUUCAGUGCUGGAACUAGAGUGUGUUUUCCUCUGCUGCAUAUGCUCCUCAUAUGCUAAGCAGCGCUCCUGCUUACUCUACAAACAGUGGCCUUUCUGCUGCACUUGGCCUUGGAAAUCCUGUACGUAACACAUUUGUGCUCUCUAGAUCUGCUUUGGGGAAGAGGAGUUUGGUGGUGGUAGUCAAAAAGCCAUUCUCUGUCUCCUGUGUUUCUCGGAAAUUCACCAAUUACUUUUGCUGAGCUGCAAGUACUUUUUUUGGUCUGUGCUGAUGGAUUCCCUCUGCCAUUGGCAUGAUUUAUAGUCACUCGUGUCUACAGGUAACAAUUCCCUUUCCCCUCAGGGUUGUGUAUUGUCCAUCAUCCACCUGUCAGCCAAAUGUCUGCUUUCCCCUUUCAUCCCAGCCAAAUAACCUGGGUGUUUGUUAGCCACAGCAGCCGUCUGCUCUGCUGCUGUGGGGAUGCUGAUGGGAUGUAGUUAGUGGGUGAGGUUCAGGAACCUUGACCUGGGCCUUAUCUCAGAGCUGGGUCACUUUGUUGGCAUCCCUUGUCUCAUCGUGGGGUGCAUCAGUGCUGCCCAUGGGAUGCUGAGUUUGACUGGAAAGAUAAAAGGGAUACAUGAACCGCCGAGCACAAGAUGGGGAAAUGCUGUAGCUCACAUUGACAAACUAAAUACAGACCAAUGAAGUGGUGCAACGUGGCACGUGUUAUUGUGCGCUGUUGGAUAUGUCCUGUGCACGUGGCAAACUGCUGUUAUUCUGCUUUAGUUGGAAGUGGUGAGGUCUGUGCCUGCUGUUGCCUCCAGUUCUGGGCAGUGUGGUAUGAGAAUGAUACAGAUGAGUCUGCAGUAUGCUGAAAGGCAGCAGGAAGAAUGAGAAGUCAGAGAAAAAUGACCUGUGAGCAGCGUUUUGUCAUGGAAAAGAAAAGCCUGAGCUGUGACAGUAGCCGUGUCACAGGUGAAGGGCCCAUUUCCCUGGUGUCCCCUGGCUGUCUCCAGAAGAACAAGACAAAAGGAUGUACAUUCUGCAGCAAGGAAAACACAAGGUGAGUAUUGGCUGCUGGGGGUUGCAGCGUGCCGCAUAGGCAGUUGCAAAGGCUUGGAGAAUCAGUUAGACAAACAGCUUUUGGCACCACACAGCUUUGGGAAGAAGGUCGCUGGAGAAGGAGAGGCAAAAAGGGACGCCCUUCCCCUGGCCGACGGGACUGAAGCUGUCGAUGGCUGUCACAGCCGGGUGCUGAUUUCCUUCUGCCCAGUGGCUGGGAACAUCCCGCUCUUCUGACUUAGAUGUAUAAAAUAAUUUGUGGGCUGGAAGAAGGCAGGAACAUCCAAGGUGCUUGUUGUGGCCCUGCAUGGAGGGGGCUCGUGGCUGCUCUCACAAGGUCCCGAUUGCUCCAGGGCAGCUGCUCACAGGACUCUGCAGAGCGCUGGGCAAAGGUUUGGUGUAGCCAUCAGAAGACUCAUUUUGUGAAAGAUGCGAUUGAUACUGUUCAGACACAGGAGGCAUGGAAAGAAUUAGAAACCGAUUCUUCUGAAAGAAGCAAGACAAUGGGAUAUAUUACAGCAUCAAAAUGUUCUUGGCAGGUGGAAUGUGUAUAUCAAGUACUGAAAAAACUGUUUGGUAAGUGAUACAUUUCAUAUUAAAAUAUAUAAAUCAUCCACUUGGAGAAGAAUUGGACUCUCUGGGCAAGUACCUUAGCUACUACAUCUGACAUACUGCCUGUUAAAACAGAUAUAUUAAUUUCAAAACCUGAUAAUCAGUGCCUAUUUUUUUAUUUGUUCCAGGAUAAAACUGAGAAUGAGAUGCAUCAUUCAUAGCAUCUGACAGUCGUCUGUCUGUUACUGGCCUGACUGUGUUAUUUCAGUGUUGCAGUGCAGUGAGUAGUCCCUAGUUUAUCAGUGUAUCUAUUGAUUAAUAUAUGCUCCCAUUACAGUAAAUAUAUAUAGUAAUAAAUUAGAUAAUGUAACCAUGAUAAACUUGCUAUAUCUAGUGUGUAACCUACUAAAUCAAAAUUAACAAUUACUAAUUGAAAUUAUAUCCCCUAGUACAGCAUUAUAUAAAUCAAAGGCAUUUUCUCUCACGUCCAUGCAUCAUUCAGAAGAUUAAUCCUCCAGCGACUGUAAAUGUUUUUCUACUGCGUUCAUUUGGCUAAGCUGGAUAAUGGUAAUAGCCUUGGGGUUAAAUACACAAUGCAGUGUGUUAGAGCUGAUGUACUGGUUAUUGCCCCGUACGUCCUAAGCGCUUAUCAAACUGCAGUGGUGAGGCACUGGGCCAUGGGGAUGGCAAGUGCUCCACACCCAAGGCUCAUGGGCUGGGAUUCCUUGGUUCUUGGGUUUUCAUGGAGGUUGUGUCUACCCAGAUGUCUUUUACCUUGUGUGCUAGGACACAAAGGACUGAGACCCAAAAAAACACCAUGGUAAUUUGAAAGAAACGUUGGUGACCUGUUUGCUCCCAAACCCACCAGUGCUCUCCUUUACUUCCCACUUGAAAGACUCAAGAGGAACAUCAUGAAACCCCUUUUAUUUUCACUCUCCAACGUUCCUGACAUAUGGAAACAUCAAUGGGAGUUGCCCCCAGGAGAGGGCUGAACAGCACAGCCCCAAACAGUGCUGCAUCAGCGCAGUGGCCUUGGGUCAUGGACAACAUCUGGCUCGUGUGAGCGAACCCUGCCAGGGGGGCUGAUGGAGAGCAUCUUGAGAGAAAUGCUUUUUAUGAAUGACUUUAGAGUGAGUUUCUGUAGGGGUCAUCAGUAAGGGUCUCUGAGGAGCACUAUUUUGCAGCGUGCACAAUGGGGAGAAAUUCUGAUUCCUCAGGAGCCAGGAAAGGGUGAGCAGAAGCCAGUGAGACAGCUCGAGCUACCUUCACUUGCAGCAGCUUCACAAAAUGUCCUAACCGUACACAGAAAACCAAUCAGAGGUUAUGCAAAGCUCUCGUGAUUACUUUGCAUUUUCAAAGAAGACUGGGCAUUGGUCCAAACCCAUAAUCUGUGCAAGGGCAUGUCACAACAAAUCGGAGAGGGAUAAUUAGAAUUUUAUGAAGAGUGGCUCUCUAUAAUGCUACCUACUGUUUACUUACCAACAAUUUUGAAUUUAGCACCUGAUUCAUUUUAUAUAACAUGAACUAAAAAAAACAUUUUCUAACAAGCUUAUAUUUGCUGUUAGUUACGUGUGUGUUUGUUUGUUUUAAAUAACCUUGUUUCCCCAGUGGGACCAAUGUACGUGCACGUGUGUCUGUCUGCUCAGAAAAUGGUAUUGUAAUAUAUGAAAGCACAGGAAUAUGGCUUUAGCAGAUAAUAACUCUUGAUUUUGUUGUUCCAAGUGUUUUUUUUCUAGAAGUCAAUGAAAGUCCAGUUCACUUGAAACAAUAGUGCUUUGAGAGCCAUUCCCAUGCUUUCCAGAAGUGUGUGAGGAGAUAGGUGUAAGAGGGAAGUCUAAAAGCAAGGUUCUUACAUGAAAGCACUAACACUUGAAAUUGUGAGGAUGAACCCAGAGGAGCAGGGAAGGCCAUCUCAGUGGCACAAAAUCUUGCUCAAAGUCUUCCAUGAGGGAGACUGGAAGGCUUCUGAACAAUGUGGAAGCCCAUCUCCAAAUCCUGCCUGUCUCUUCGGCUGCCCAUCUCAAAAUCCUGAAGUGGUGCUGGGGUCUGCAGUCCCGUGUCUUCGCUGCGUCCCAAGGCACGGAGCCCAUUCCGAGAGGGGUGGCUGUGCAGAGUUCAUCCAAGCUCGAGUGAAAUGACCAGCAACUACUUGUGGAUUCUUCAUAAAAUAGCCAUUUGAAUGGAAAAUUACACCUAAAUACCUGCCAAAAAUCCUGUAUUGAGGUGAUUGGUAUUUAUGGGCCCCUGCCAGAAGCUGUUAUAAUACAACUUUUUUAUGGAGUCUUAUUAACUCUUCCCAGGGAGCGAUACAUUCUGAGCAACUGAAGCCAGUGAGUUACAAUUUGUCACAGAGGGGAAGAAAGAUCGCUUGGCUCCAGAGCACAGUGUACAGACAUGCUCAGUUUGGAUGUGCUGUAGCAAACCAGAGAAAGUACUUUGCUAGUUGUAAAAUCUAAUGGCAGGAGGAAGACAUCCCUGCUCUCUGCCCUUGAUUCUUGGCAGUGUGGAUUACAAAAUGCUUCUGCUUAAAGGAUGCGGAUUAGAAAAGAUGUUAACUACAUGUACAGUUGCUGUUUCUAUAGCCUCAUUAGUAUGCACGAUGUUUCUUACUGAUUUGACAUUGUCUCUGCCCUAAGGAGCUUGAAAUUUAAAGGCAAAACCCUGUGACCAUGUGAAAUCUGAACAUUGCAAGCAAGGCUCUCAAGAAAGGAUUUGCGAGACUGUGAACAAAUACAUUUUAUUCAACAUGUCAAAGCAGGGAGCAGGCAGGGAGGCAGAGGUGUAAACAACUGGAGCGGAGGAGAAAAAUAAUGAGAGAACCCUAAUUGUUGUCAGCUUGAUUCCAGCCUUGCUCACCCAGACAGACGUUGCUGCAUCUUUGUCAGUGGAGGUGUUUCUGGUUUGCAGCAAUCCAAAACUGUUCUACCCAAGAAGUUGUUGCAGUGAAAGCUGGAAAGGAAACAAAAGACUUUUUGUUGAGGCUUCGGCUCUUCAGCACACGCUAUCAGCGCUCCAUCUGCUCGCUGGGCCCCAGCUCCCAUGUUCUGGUCACCGAGAGUGAGUGUAAGGCCACCAAGGUCAUUUAUUUACGUGCCAAGUAAAUGCCACUCAGCUGUCUUCCCAGAGAGGCUGAGGUUGUCAUGGUGUCUCCCACAUCUUUUCGGUACAUCUUUAUAUUGUGUACUCUAACAGCCUUGCCUACCGCAAUUAAGCUUUGGCUUUUGAGUCUCUCUUUUCGUAUCCAUGUAAGUGUUUCCAUGUAGUUAUCUUUUGGAUCCAUUUAUUUAUUAGCAUCCUCAAAUACAAGAUUCUCUCCAAGCAUGAUAUGCAUUGAUAUGAAAGCAGGUAAUUGCUUAAAAACUGAAGAUGCCUGUUGGUGUUGCAGCAUUUAAGAAGAAAAAGCUAAUGGUUGCUAGGAUGGGGGUUACUAUCAAUGCAAAUUUUGCAUGAAUUUUGUGCUUUCUAGCACAAAAAUUGUGUGCACUUGUAAGAUGUUUGCACACACAGAGAUACCUCUGCUGGAUCUAGCACCUCAAGUUUCUCUGGGGCCUCUGUGAUCUCUGGUUCUGCGAAGAUUUUUAGCCACUGUCCUAAUAAAUGGUAUGCAUGAAUGUUGGGGAAGAGAGUUCCUGCAGGGCUGGUCUGCUCUGAGUGGCCUGAAAUUUCAUAACUGUUCACAAUAAUGGCCCGUGGGCAGGAGAGUCUUCCUCUGCAGGGCGUGCUGGGAAACUCACUUCUGAGGGUGGCACUGCUCCCUGGGUAGGAGCCCCUAUCGGUGUGAUUUCCAUGCACAGAAUGGAAAUCUUUUGUCCUUCCUGGUGACCGCAGAACUGAGUUCAGAGAUGUUCCAUACGUUGUGCUGCAUUUCUCUCCCUCCAAGUCUCAGAAGUGGAAGGAAAUGGAAUAAUAAAAUUGUUACAGCAGCAGGAGCCCAGCUGAACGGGUAAUUGUCACACCAUAUAAAGGUAUUUGAAAAGGUGGAAGGAAAAAUAAACUAAAUGUCCUCCUUUUACCGGGGAAACAUAUUAUUAUUUAUGAAUAAUUUUCAUUGUUGAAGGAAAGAGUAAGACACAAUCAGAGAGACCAUAAAACAGGAAAUGUAUAAAGUGUUAUUUACAUUACAUUGGAGAAGAGGAAAUCACUGGCAGGGAGAACGCUUUUUUUUUUUUUUAAUACAAAAUCAAGUUAUUUAGAAUUGCAUGCUUAGAUUAAAUUCUAUACGAAGAAUAAUCCAUGAUUCUUCCUGCAAUAGAAAUGUGACUUCUGGUGAUGCUAAUGCCUCUGACUCAGGUUGCGUUUGUGUCCAUGUACCACACAGCAGUGUGAGGCUGCAGCAAGAUUCUGCUGUGGUAGCAGUGGAACAAACCUGGAGCUGAGGGAAAGGCAGCUUUCCAAAAGGUUUCUUGUGUAUAACGAGUGACAGACACGACGCAACAAUAUCAGCCAGUAUCAAUAGAAGCGUGGCUGGUGUCGGAGCAGUGGCAGACCAACAAUUUCCGAAGUUAUGACUGAUGCAGUAAAUACACUACCAACACGUGUGCUCAGGCUGAGAAGCUGCCAGCCUUGGGUUUAAGAGAUAUGUGGCUGUGUGUUCAUAUAAAUACACCCUGUUAAUAGCUGAUGAAUAAUUUUUACUACCUCUUGCCACCAAGGAUUGCGAAUUCUAAUUAGUGAAUGUGUUUAUCCCCAGAAAGCCCCUGGCUCCUGCAGGCUGCCAGCCUCGCACAGUGCUGCUCUGUUGCAGCAGCCCUGCCUUUCCUCUCCCAGCCCCUCAGUGCCCCAUAGGUUGAAGUCACCAGCAUUGUAGCCGAGGACAGCUUUAUCCUUUCUGUUCUUAAAGAAUGCCUUUUUGUUUUGUUUUAAUGAGGCUUGCUAAUCACUGAUGACUUUCAAAGUUUCAGUGCUAGAUCAGGAGACAAAUUAUUCCUGGGGACCCUCUUCAGGAUGCCAACCCCGUGUAACCAGAGCAGUCUGGGGGACUUCCUGAUCUCUUUCUCUAUUGCUCAUCCCACAGAGCUAGAAUUUUUUUCAUGUGUUCCCAGAAGACAAAGGUAGCACAUAAAGGAGAAAAAUACAACGAUUAGUUGGUUCUUAAGAUGCAUUUGGGGAGUGGUGCUGCUGGACAUGUGUAGAUGCUGCACCUGAUUUGUAGGGCUGAGGAUCAGCUAGGAAGGUUUUUUGCUUUUACUCUUCUGGUCUGCCAGUAAUGAAGUGUGAACUGGCAUGAAAUGUCAUAAUCUCAGACUUUUGCACUCCAGUAUUUUACCAUAAAAUCGAUUGCUUUCUCAGAUGUAAGCAACUGGAGAAUGCGGAACAGAUUAGGGCCUGUUAGUGUUGGGCAGCCCUUUAAACAGAUAAGCAUUCAAAAGGGGUUUGUACAAGUGGAAACGACACAGCUGAUGACUGUCUGUGAAGAAUAUUUUUUCAUCUUCUCCUGUUCAGAGGAAAAGCAGCCCAAGCAAUGUGGGCUUACAGCAUGUCAGAUCACAGCCAAGGGAAGAGUGUUGCUUAAAUUCAGAUUGAACUUUGCUCUUUUCAUGGGGAAAUGGAGUUCUUACUAAAAUGCAAACUUUUGUGGGUGCUUUCUACUUUCCACAAGAGAUGACAGUUCCAGAGAAAAGGAAAGUGCUUUUGACUUUUGGGGUUGGGUUUUAAAGAAGUCUCAAAUGUUUUGGUAAAAGCUGAAGGAUGCUUUGUUGUCUUACGCAGCAGAGUGGAAUUGCAAAGAGUAAAUAAAUAUUAUGCCUCAUAAAGUCCUGCUUCAGAAACUUCUAAACAAUUUGUUUCUCCUGAAAAGUUUUUUUUUUGUUUGUUUGUUUGUUUCUUUUUUUUUUUCCCCACUAUCACAAUUAGCUACUUGCUCAAGUACUGCUUUUAUGCAUUCGAGGAGGGACUUCCAGCUGCUGCUCUUGGUGAGUACCAUCCCUGGGAAAAGAUACUUGGAAAAGAACAGUGAAGGAAAAAACACUUUAAUUGUCUAUCUUAAGAAGAGUUCCACCAACAAAACAGUGAAAUAGCCUAACAUACAGAUUUAAGACAGGUUCAUGUCACAACGCUCUUGAGCCACAUGGCUGAUGGUUGCUGAUGCUCAGAGCCCCCGGAUGCCUGAUUGCUGCAUCUGCACACAGGGCCUUAAAGGCAGGUCUGGAGCGAUGAGCAAUUGCUCAGAAUCACCUGUGGGAAGCUCCACAGCUUCCCCAAAGUUGACACCAAGUAUUUGGAAGGAAUUUGCUGCACCCAGUUGUAGCCAGACUGAUGGUGGAGUUGAAGUUCAGGGCCAAGCUGCAAGCCCUGAGCUGGUGCAGCAGGACGGUGCUGUUGUGAGCUGAGCUGGCUCAGCAGUGAGAAGGAAAGAACCUGAAACAGAUUGUACCUACAGCAAGGCAGUGAGUGUUGCAGGUACACCUCCCUGCUGAAGGCUGUGGAAAUCCUAUACUUUAUUCACAUGAGAAACCAGACUUUAAGUGGCCAAUGGAUAAGGCUGCGUGUAGAUUAAAUGUCUGCACACGGUAAAUCCACGGAGUACAAGCUACUGCCUUGUACCACUACAAUACCCUAUGCAUAAUGCAUAGCUUAUGAAUAAUUUGCACAAGGAUCUAUUCCCAAACUUAUGAUGUUACAUGAUUUUUUUCACUCUGAAAGUAAACAGAGGGAAAGUGUCAUCCUUCAGGAAUACAGGGGACAGGCAGGAUCGGGAGCUGGAGAGCUGAGGCAGCCCCACGGAGGAAGCAGCUCUCGGGACUGCAUGAGCAGUGUCUGCUGUUAAUGCUCUAGCAGUCCAGGAAGAAAAUGAAAGGCUGUCAGAUGGUUAAAAAUCAUUCCUUUUAUUACAGCAUUACUCACUGCCUUCGACUUUGUGAAAAAUUGUUUGGAAAGCUGAUUGUUUCAAUGGGUGUGGAUAUAAAACCAAAGAAAACACUGCCCUUGGAGGCAAGGAUAUAGUCCUUAAUUUCAGUUGGAAGCAAAUAAAUAGCAACUAUUUCUCUUCAGCCUUCUGAGUAUUUUUUGUGCUUCAAAAUCCCUGAAUGAUUACCUGCGUGAGGAAGCAAGGAAAAAGAAACCUGCUUAAGGUAAAAGUAAGUUUGAUGCCUUUUUUCUGUUAAUUUUGGCCCAAGAUUCCUGCCAAGCCUGAUGUAAAUGCCCUGUGGUGUUGGAAGAAACUGAGUAGUUUCUUUUUGUACUCCUCAUUUUUGUUUUUCCUUCUGGAUUUUCCUGGGAGCAUAUGCUUGUCCGUGCCCAUAGGACCUGGGAGUCGGGAUUUCUGUUCCUUGUUUAAAGCUCAUUCUUUCCAGAUUUAACUGAUUCUGGCGACAAAGAAACAAGUCACUUUGCCAUGCGUUGUUCACAGGGUGUAGCCAGAGCUUCUUAGGCUCAAAAGGUAAAAUUUACAAAGUUUAAUAUUAAUGAAAUCAGGAGUUGUGGGAUUUCACACAAGGGGGGUAGGUGGGCUGUCUUGAUGCAGAAGCAGCAGAAAGCCAGAGGGAACAAACAUUUUGUUACCUAAGACAACAAAUUCUAGCCGAGCCAUCCCAAUCCAAAGACAUUUGAAACUCAGUUCCUAUUUUUGUAUUUAAGUAUUAUUUCCAUCAGCUCCUUUUCGGUAGAGUAACAUCUGCCCUAUUUUGAGGUUUGCCUUUUGCAGAGGUGUAACUGCCAUCUACUGACUGCCGCACGGAUGCUCUGAUCAGCUUCCUGAAAUUACACGCUUCGAUGGCUCUUAAAGGAAGGAGAAGGCUGCACAGACUGCCUGCGUGCACACACCUGAGGAGGAGGAGGAAGAGGAGGAGGAGGAAGAGGAUGUUAUUCAGCCAGUCUCUCCCUCACUGUGCCGGUGGCUUACAUGGAUUUAACUUGGCAGAUCUGCGGCUGGGUAAAACGAGCCUGAAAGGCUGCAUUUUCUUUUCCAAUGGUUUGUAUUUCUUUCUCAGAAUACCAGGCUCUCUACAGCCAGUGCAGCUGUGUGUCAGGGCCAGUGGGCUCUCACUGGCAUGGCCCUGACCAGCCCAACCUGCAACUUGACUUCUCGGCUUCCCUUUGGACCUUCUUUGUCACCACACAUUUUCCUGAUGCUCAGAAUUCUUGGUUGGAGCUUGUUGCCAGCCCCAGGCCUUGCAUGUGCUGAGCCUGACUGUGUAAGCUGCAAUAAUCAGUUGGGAUUUUUUGUCUGGUGAGCCUACACAGAGCACUUGUUUCUUCCCAGUGUCACUGCUCAAGCAAGCAAGCACUGCUUGCACCACUCCUCCCUGGGUGAGAAGCAGCCUGCACAAACACAGAUGAAAAUUCCCAACCUGAUUCAAGUAAUUUUGGUUCCAACUUCCACUUUCUUUUAGCCCAUCAAUUUCUUUUGGCAAUUUCUUUUAUCACAUCAACCUCCUUAAUUCAACCCAGCCCACUUUUCUUCCUCCCUUUGCCACCAUUAUUUUCGUGUUUGUUGUAGCAUAAGCAACAUCAGUAUGGGAUGCUGUAAACCUCUUUAGUAGAGGUCUCGGUGGUGGUAGGAUUUGAAGGAGAAGAUGGUCUGAGUGUUUUGCAUGGUUUAAAAAACAGUCUUGAUUUACAGCUUUUAGAUUUAAUCCUGAAAAAAAUCCUCUGAAAAUCAAAACAUAACUUAAGGCUUUCAAUUUCAGUCAACCUGAGAAAUCAUGAAUUCAGUCAUCACUACUGAAAUGUGACAGACUUAUUUGCCAACGCAUGCAAAAAUGUCUCUUGUAUGUGAAACCAUAAAUUAACCAAUAUUAGUUUUGAAAGACUUGCAGGUCUCAUCAGGCCUUUCAGACAGCACAAGAGGAGAUUCAUAGCUAUAAUGAAAGCUGAAAGGUUUUUUCCAACAGACCCUUGUCUCACCUGCUCUUAAGCAUGUUACCUUUCAGCAUUAUAUGAACUGUUACUCAAGAUUUCAUUUUUAACAUUGGAUCCACUUUGAAUUUUUCAAGUUGUAUUUCAAAUUAAACUCAUUUAUCGUAUUCAGAGCACAUCAUGAAGAUCGUUAAUAAUGCUAUUUAAUAUGAUCUCCAACAUUUUUGCUUUGGAGGCUUUUAUGCAAAUUCCAAGUCACUACUUAAAAGUAGAAGUAUUUACAUAUAUAUAUAUAUAUGAAAAUCUGGCUGCAAUUUUAAUUUUGCAGUCUGCAUUUCAGAAAAGUGUUGGUAAUAUCUAUAAGAGACUUAUUCCUGGUUUUUGGAGGUAUGUGGAAGUACUUCUUCCUGAUAAAUUUCUAGCUAUGUAUUUACUGAAAUUUAAAAGAUGUAUAUUUUUGAAGGUUUGAACAUCAGUUGUCAGGCUGUAUUUUAGAAAUAGGGCAAUUCUAAACUACAUUUACCCUCAGCUAAAAUGGAUGCUGUAUUUUGAGCUUACAAUACAGCAAAUCUUAAUCUUUCUGAGGCUUCUGGAGCAUAUAGUUAACUUAUGGUUAUCCCCACCCAAUUAAGGGCAAACUUGCAUACGAAGAUUGAAUUUGUAGACGGGUUCUUUCUCUUUAUUUUCCAGUACUAAUGGUGCUUGUGUAGGGUAUACAAAUAUAUAAAAUCAAAGGAUUGCCUUUUUUAUAAGCUGAGACAGCAGCUCUGUCUGUCCUCUUCCAUUUUACAAACCUUCUACCUAUCUGGAUGUUUUUAUCAUGGAGAAAAUUGGAAGAAACGCAAACUUCCCCACUGAGCUUUAAAGACUUCCAGUGAAAUAAACAGUCCUGCUCACCAGAAAGUUAGCCUGAGCAGGCACAUUUGAAAGGUUAUGAACUAAAAAAAAAAAAAAAAAAAAAGCAAACUUCUAAAUUGGAUUGCUGGCAGCAACUCCUCAUGUUUCACUUAAGCCAGUUUAGUUAAAAUGAUUUUCUUUUUUGUUUGCCAGGAAAAAUGAGAUGCUUUGUUUAGGUUCAUUACCUCUAAUAUUUUAUAAGUGGGUGGGUAACAAGCUCUGCUCUGUUUUCUAUGUACUAUAUUCCUAGAUGAAAGCAUCCUUGCCUGGGACGUUGCCAUUUUGCUCUUAUUUGGAUGCAGAGCAUCCACUGUUGUGUGCAGACUCUUGCAGAGAUUGCAUUUGUAUGUUCUUGUUGAGAUCUUUGCUUCGGUUUUGCAGCUUCAGCAGCUGCACUGCUUCUGGAAUAUGGGGGAAAUGUUUUUUUUUCCCCACUUGCCUUUAUUCUUUGCUUCUCAUUGUUAGGCAUAACUCUGAUUUUUCUCUGAAUAAGGGCAGACUAAAGCACAGACAUUGUGUCUGGGAUUUCUGGUCCAGAUUCCCUAAUGCCUGUGGAGACUUAAAAGGUGGCAUUAGAUGUGACCAACCUGUCCUAAUGGGUACAGUGGCCAAAAAGGCCAGCGUUGCUCACUUGCAUGGACGGAAUUGUCCACACAAGUAUGUCUUUAAGUAUUUCCACAGCACACAAAUAUUCUGCAUCAGGCUCUGCCCUGUUUGUCUCCUGCCUGAAACUUGCCACCUCCUCGGUGCCAGGGCAUGGGCUAUGCUUUGGGAUGCUCUUCAGUAAGGACUUCUUUCAUGCAGCAACACGAUGCUUUGCUCUAGGCAGGUCGAGCUCAGGCAUUACUAAAGAUCUGUAACUUGUGUCAAAUCCUCACUAACUCAUGAUUUUUCUGAGGAAAAUGAGCAUGUUUAAUUCUGCUCCUGCUUUCCUCAGCUGUCUCUGAUUUUGUGCGUGCACUUCCACACCGAAGGCUGUGGGUCCCUGCAGUGCUGCUCGAGGGUAAAGAGUGUUGGAUGCACUUUGCCACGUGUGUGCCAAAGAACUAUUUGGCACACAAAGGGGUCUUGGGAUUUUGGGCUUAUCUCAUUUUAAAACAAAAGAAUCGAGAAGACAAAGUUUCAUGAGAAAUGAUGGAGGACUAAAGAACAACCCCAGCUGAAAGACUGUGAGGAACCUGAGAGUGCUUUAAAGCACUCUCUUGGGCUAAGAAGUCCAGCCCGAUCCAGGGUCUGUAAAUAAGACUGUUACGUUGCUCAUGGAACAGUACAACUAAACUUUCUGCAAAGCAUAGGCUCAAUUUGGAUGCUGGUAUUACAACAAUUUCUAGAAGGUCUUUAAAAGUGCUGUGAAGAUGAUGGAAACCCAGCAGCUUGGUUUCUUCCUCGUGCCUGCCCCACGCUAGCACAGGAAUUGCUGUGGCACACUAGAACAACUGAAGGCUGAGGCAGCCACAAAUCCUACCCAGUUUUCAUAUGGUCCUGUUUCUUUAAUAAUAUAUAUACAUAUAUAUAUAAUAGCCCUUAAAGCAGCAGCUUUACUUUUCUUUCUUGGUUUUUAGCACCCACUAAAGUACUCCAACGGCCUUCUAAAGCAGGUGCACGUGGCACUCUGUUGGUGAGGAUUAAGCACACCCAGAUUAGUUAUACAAGGAGUAAUCAGGUGUGGAAACACCCUGCCUUUUCCCCUUGGGGGGGCUUCAAAUGAGCAGCAGUGCUCACAGCAAGCUGCAUUACUCGUCACAGCCACCUCCUACUUGGUUUCCUAAUAGCAGUACAAUAGUUAGCAUAAUACUGUCCGUUAACACUUUAUUUUAUGUUCUGUAUAUUUUUAUUACAGAAGACAAUGGGGAGACCAGUGUGCUUGGCUCAUCAGUUUAAUUUAUAUCCAACACCAGUGUUGCCAUUAUGUCUGGAAAACACACACAACAUGGAACUGGGAUCUUUCAGUUUUUUAGAAAGAAAAUACCAGGUACAUUAGGGGAUAUCAGUGAGAACCUUUGAUUUUUAGAAACAGUCGCUCUGUGCUGUCUGGAAAGUGAGAACAUCCCUUCCAGGUAUUUGGUUCAGCAUUUGGAAACUGGUGGUCACCUGAAAGCUUUGACCCAGAAGGCAGAAUGGAUGCCAGUAGCUAAGUGGAGGCAUGAAAAAUGAAUUGUCUUUUUCUCCCCAGAGGAGAGAUCCAUCCUGCUGGAGCUGGAGAACACUUGCAAACUCACAAAGCUCCUUUUCAUUAGAGAAAUAAAAGCCUCAUCAUCCCCAGAGCUCUUAAUUAGGCACCUUUUGCCAUUCGCACAAAUCUAUGUCUCUGCUGUCAAGUCCUAUUUGUUUUAAAAAUUGAUUCAUUCAUUUCAGCCCUUUUGUUGGGUGGCAAAAAUGGAUAGGCCAAAUGAAUCCAAACACUUUGUAAAUUGUAAAGGUUUUAAUAUAAUCAGUGCAGCAAAGCCAAGCUCAGAGAACAAGUGUACACCAAUGCUUUAGUGCAAAACACUCGUAGAGCAAUAAUGAAAACCACAUUCAAAGCAGAGAGGGCACCAGAGGAGAGUAAAAAAAGCACAUAUGAAGUAACUAGCAGACCUACAUGGUAUUCUCGCAUAUAUGGUGGAUAUUAGUCUGUGCUGCAGGCAUUGUCUAUCAGUUAGGAAAGGUCAAAAAUGGAAGUGCUAGGUUUUGCUAAUACUUAGGUUGAGUGCUUUUAGUUCAGGUUUCCUGGUGAGGAAUGGUUUCAAUAUUUAAAGGAGUUAGCAUUUCUUUUUGUGACCUCCUGACGAAUAGUGACUUUUAGGUAUUGAAUAUAAACUUAUACUGAAUUCAACUCCAUUUGUAAUCCUUGUUUUGAAGGAUUUCUGCAUUAUGAUAAUAUUCACUGAUAUGUCUGUUUGCAAGGAGGUUUUUAUUCACACAGGAAACAACUCCUCAUGUACAAACAGUGAAAUGUAUGUAUGAAUGCAAAUAUUUGCAUAUAAUCAUUUUCUGUUCGUUAUUUUCUUAUUUUAAAAACCUCAGUGAACCUUGAAGCAGGAAUAAAACAAAAACCAUUGGUAGUGGGAAUUGCAUGAAGUGUCAGAGAUGUGUGGCUGGAGCUCAUCAGCGAAGCCAAGCAAAGAUGUUGCAAGUGUCACCAUCUGGGAAGCUGAGCCUUCCAUGCGUGUGGUUGCUCAGCUGCUUUCCAAGCUUCAAAGAGUCUCUAGUUAUCUCUAGUUUCAGGUUUGGCUCAUUAUUUCAGGUAGUGACACUAUAUAUAUGGAAGUUUUUUCACAGAAGUUCAUGAGAAGAUGCUAGAUUUUUCCAAAAGCUUUAUUUUAGAUCUAAAGCUAUUAUAAAGUUGUUCUUUACGUGGAUAGAGGGCUCGAUGGCAAUUAUUAAUCAGUGUGCUGUAGUUUGGAUGGGAAAGAUAGGUAUUUAGCUGAUGUGCACACUGUGUGUUCUGGGGAGAGAAGGUCUUUAUUAAAGUCCAAUGUGAUUAGAGGAAAAGAGUAAUGUAAAGAUCAUUGAUUGGAAGGCUUACAGAGGUUGUUUUCACAUUGAUUAUCUGAUUGUCUUUUCAGUAUAUGCAUUUUUCUGUAAACAUGUUACCAGUUUGGGUGUUUGCUCACUGUACUUGUGCCUGUUCAAAUGAGCUGUGAGAAGUCCCAAAGCCUUACCUUGUAUUACACAGAGGAACAUAGACCAUAGGAUAAAUGCAUGAUGUAUCCUUGCAAACUUACAUCAGCCAACUUGCAGUAAUUAUGGUGUCUCAGCUGUCACUGUUGACUUUUAUUUUUUAUUUUUUUUUCCCACCUGUUAAAGAAGUUGCCAAGAAAAAUAUCAAUGCAUUGGAAAUAGCUUAAGAAAUUAUGAAAAUCCCCACCUAUCAUGUUUCUUUACCCAUUUGCUGUUGUUUGUGGGAUUACAUGAGAUCCAACACAAACACCUUUAUUUAGUUAAAUACAGUAUAAUUUACUCUUGGGUUCCUUUUUCAAAUAUAAGUCUUUUAUUUAUUGAAUGUUGGAAUUUCCAUAACCACCCUGAGAGCCUUGCUGACAAAGUAGUGUAAGCAAAUUGUCUUAGAGGCGCUCACUUCCUAGAAGACUGAAUCAAAACAGGAUUCAUCAAAGGAGUUCACACAAGAAAGAGCUUUGCUCUUUCUCACAUGUAGACAGUGUUUGCUGGUUUGUAUUUGAGGCAGAUCAGAGCAUAGGCAUUGCCAGUGAGGCCACUGCAGUGACAGGAGCUCUUAGCUUCAGCUUUCAUACGCAAUUUUUGCCCAAGAUUAUGAAAGUUCUUGCAGUCUAUAUUUUGAUUAUAAAGAAGAGAGGUGAUCCAUGCGCAAACUGCAUUUGCUAUGGAUUAGCCAGAACUUGCUUCGAGCUACCUUGAAUAACAACACCAAAAGUGUAUCAAGACAUACUGAAGCUGUGCUAAUCCAGCAGACUCACCCUUGAGACUAACUUAUUUAGUUUCCACUGUGUUAAAAAUAUACUUGGGUCUCCACCUGCAAAAGUUGAGAGUGAAACUCUACUCAGAAAAGCAGUUUCCAUCUCAUAGUGUAUCAGGGCCAGGCAUCUGGUGGUGUCAAAAUGAAAAUGUGACACAUUGUGUUUAGCUAGACCUGAGAUGAAUUGUGAAAACUGCUCAAGUUUGGGAAGUUUUAUAUGGUUUGGGAGGAGGAUGAGCUGCUGAAAUGUGCAAUUUAGCUCUAGCAGCCACUGCAGAUCUCAGGAAUGUGUAGCGCAAUGCAAGAUUAACAAAUCCCAGGCCUGAGAGAUAAAAGGUAUUGGGGGAGAAUAUGAUGAACCCUGCAAAGCCUGAACUGCUUCUCUCUUGUUUGUGUCGGAGCAUUGGACUGCUCCAAUGAACCCCUGAGUAACUGGCAAAACUGUAUGAAAGUCUGCAGCUGAUUUGCUUCGCCAGCCCAUUUGUCCACUAACAGAAUCACUCCAAUAAAGGUGACUUCAAGGUGCAGGGUUUGACCAAGGUGUCAGUUUUUAAAUUUUCUUCAAAUUUUGAGUAUUCAACACAAGGCUGUAUUUCAGAACUCAGUACAUGACAGUUUGGACCUGCUGUUUUCACCCCUCUGUCUGUGACUGGGACAGUUUGGGUUGACCUGCUGGGAACCUCCCUUUCUGUGGCAGGAAAACACCUGAGUAGGGCCUGAACUCCAUUUUCUGUCAUUUGUCUCUGUAAUCCAGACAUGCCCACAUAAUCCAGCUGUCAGGUUUUGUGCUGUUUGCUGUUCUUCUGAAGCUCAGGUGAAGCACUUUGGCUACCCUGCUUUCAGGGGCUAUGCACAACCUCUGUACGCAUCACCCCCACCUCCGUUCUCCCGUUGGGUUUGGGAUGGUGGCUCUGGGCCCAGAUGGUGUCAGAGGUGCAGAGCAGUGCAGUGUGUUAUGCUCAGCCACCCCGUGCCCCCCAGCUGCACGGGGGUCCCGUUCCCCAGGCUCCCACCCAUGUGCGGAUGGUUGCAUGGCUCCAGUGUGCGCAGACAGCUUUGGUGCACCUCCAGAGCAGGUGAAGCCACAGCCACAUCUCAGUGUGCCAGAGCAGCCUUCCAGGCUUUUAUAACCCAUUAUAGUAUCAGUAGGAUUCUGGUUAGAGGGCUGGGGGUCCUGGGCACCACAGAGUGUGGGGGCAGAGCCUGUGGGUCAGCCAGGCCCAAACCCUACCAGGCCCAAACCCCACCACGCUGCUGGCUCACGACAGGAGAGCUCUGCCUGAGCCAUAGAGAGGUGGCGCUGACAAGCCUCUGUUUACAGCAUUUCAGUUCAAUGAGCCCCAGUAAUUAUUGACAGGUCUAAUUACCACCAGGUCUAAAUAAGAGAUCAUAAGAGCUCUGGUCAGAGGAAGGAAGUUAUUGUCAGACCUAGGUACUGAAACUACGUAGAUUUACACGUUUUAAAGUUUCAGACAUUACAACCUCCUGAACAAUUCAUUGAUUCAGGGUUCCUAAAAUAAUGACAGAAUAAAGCACAGCCUUGGUUAGGAACAGGUACAGUCUGAGACCCUGCCCACGUGGGAACACAGCCAUAAGAUGGUGAGGGUCCUAGGUGAUUUGGACCCACUGCCAUCCCCAUUACUGCUUUAAAACAGACUUUCUGAAAACACACGUUUGGAAGAAGCAGCUCUGUGUUGUAAGAGAGCUGCAUUUUUCUGGCAAACACUAUAACCGGCUUUAAGACAGCAGAAGUUGCUAAACUCACAUGUAUUGAGAAAGACGGUGAAUUACAGAUGUUUGCAGCCUCACAUGGAGAGAAAAUUGCAGGAUUCAUUAAGCAGUAGCUGGAGGAAGUGUGUAUGGAUGCUUCAGAGACCUCUUGUGCAAACAGACAACGCCUUAACUCAUAGACUUAGUGAAUUAACUUUGUCCUUCAGCAAUGGCCUUACUUAACUUUUUCACUGUCAUCACAAAUGGCACCUGAAACACCCUCUGAAAUUACUUUUUUUUUUUCUUCUUCUUCUUUUUUUCUUUUGUAGAAUUGAGCCUAGUACCUUCUAGGACCUUCCUCCAAGCUAAUAAUCUCUUUCAGCAUCUCAUUGGAAUUAGUGGCUGGCCCUGUGGCUGGAUUCAUCUUGUAACUUCCAAAAUCUGAUAAUUUAUUUUUUUCUCAGUAUUGCACCCUAUUAGGUACCAGGUAGUACUUAAUGGACCUAGUCUGCAUGCACUUGAUUUUACCCCUUCAUUUUUAAUUUUACGAACAGCUGAGUCUAGAUUGGCAUUUAUUAUAACAUGAAAUACCCUAGUUGAGCAGGUGCAGCAUCACAUAGUACCUUCCUUAAUGGCUGAUGUGUUUCCUAAAUUCAUUUUAAAGUUUAUAAAAUGUGUGAAGCAAAUUAAGAGAUCCAGUUGACUACAAGCUUUUCUGUUCUGAAGCAUCACAGCACUGCACACUGUCAAAAAGUGCAUCAGAACUUGUGAUUGCCAUCGCAUCAAAUACCAAUACAGGCAGUUUUACAAACCAUGAAAUGUCCAGGCUCACUCAGGGAGCUUUUUGUUUUCAUGUUUGCUUUUCAUUUACUUAUGCAGAAUUCAUUAUAUUUCAUAUGAGGAUUAGAUUUUAUACUAGUUAAAUAUAUUUGACUCUACUGAUGACAACUGCUAUCUCUAAGUCUUUUUAAAAAAGUACCCUUACGCAUUAGCAAUGUUCACGUCCAGCCCUGCCUUAUUAAACUGUUUCCAUCUUAUUUCCUUGUUACCUAGUAGUUGUUGGGUAUUAAUGCAUAAAUGGAUACUUUACUUUGUUCUUUUAUUUUUAACCAUUUGAUCAUUUGUCCAGGAGGCGAAAGCAUGCCCCCUCUUGCCGUGCAGAAAAUGGGCCUCAUCAAGCAUUGGCUGUCUGAAUCUGUGGAAGCCCCUGGAAUGGAUCACUCUUCUGAGGCAAAUCUCUUACAGGGAAAUGCUGUCAGCAGGAUCUCCAAAUCGAAUUAGAAAACCUCCAUGGAGGAGGGCAUUUAAAUAACCAGCUCUGUUGGUCCCUCAGGAUGUGCUUGUCUGUGAAACCUUUCAAAUGGCACAGGCCUUUGAAAGCAUUCUCCGUUCUGCAUGGAAAGCUGCACGAACCGGGACCGUGUUAUACCAUGUCCUGCAUGAGCCUGGUGGGGGGUUGUUUUGAGGAGAGUGGCUUCUAAACUGCUGCUUUUGAAGAUUACACAGAGAUCUACUGGUGCUGUAUGCACCAGUACCUUUCUGGAGCUACUAAAUUGCAAAUGUAAGGAAUGACUGGAUAAAGCCCCUCAGGCUGCUGGACACCCAUGGUCCAUACCCUGCAUGGAAGCAGAGCUCAUCCUCAGGGGCUUCUCUUGCCACGGCUCAACCAUGCAACACCCAGGGCUGCCCUCUGCUCUGGUUCUUUCCCCAACUUGUAGGGGUUGGAAGGGACCUCAAGAGAUCAUUGGGUCCAACCCCCCUGCCAAAGCAGGUUCCCUAGAGCAGGAUGCACAGGAAGGCAUCCAAACAGGCCUUGAAUAUCUCCAGAGAAGGAGACUUCACAACCUCCCUGGGCACAGGUGGUCGUUCUGAGAAGGAAGAGGCAGUCGUGUUCAAGCUUUCCCUGACCUAAUUCACGGUUACAAGGCAAAGCAGUUUCUUAACUGAAAGGAAAUCUGUUUCUUCAUGUUGCACUUCGACAAAAUUGCUGACUCUUCAUAGGAAGAAAGAUGUGUAAACCAUCCUGAGAGGCUUACAUCUCCAUUUUCAGGUCUGCCUCACAUCCUAAUGGGAAGACAUCCUUGGGCCAGAGCCUGACCUGAUUUAUGCUAGCUUAAAAUCUUACACAGCACCGUCCUCUCAAUGUGUCUGGGCAGAUAGCUUGACACCAGCCUGCAUAGCAGUGGCUAAACAAAAGCUAGUGAUCUGUGGAGAACUCGUCUGAGGGAAAUAACAUAUCUUUUUUGAAUAUUUUAAAGGCAGAGUCUCCUGGUUUGCAGUUCUGCACAGGUUUAUGCUGUACACUGAAGUCCUUCAUCAGCCUCCAGCUAUUUCCUUCACAAGAAAAUUGACUGCUGGGAGCAUUUUUUUUUGCCUGUUGCUCCAGGUGAGAUGAUUGUUGACUUCUGUGGCUGCCUGGCUGAAAAAACAUCAGAAAGCAAAUCUUUAUGGGCAUCAAGAUUACUAGCAAUGUGAAGAGAGGCAAAAUGAGUUAGAUUUUAUCCUUUUUGUACAUCUCACCUGGGAAUAUUUUUUCCCAUCUGUAGUGGGUUUACAUGGCAAGGUUUUGGUAGCUGUGUGGCCAUAGGGGUGGCUUCUGCAAGAAGAAUCUAGAAGCUGCCCCAUGUUAGAUAAGG